AAAAUAUAAAGAUAGCAUCACAAAUUAAUCACUGGAAUAAAGGCAGAGACUAGACAGUUCAAACUAGUCAAAAUAUAGAAAGUAAAACUAGGCAACAAUGAAUGAAGAAAUAUAUGUCUCAUGGCCAGUCCCAAAGUUUCAUAGCAGCGAUGCCACUACCCAAGGCAAUGGAAUAUGAGACCACUUUCAAAUGGAGGAAGACCUCAAAGAUGAAAACCCUUGAAGGUGAACCUCUACAAAUAAAAACUUAAUCUCUGACGUUUGCUAUGGAAUAUGCAAACAUGUAAGGUUUGCUCCAAAAAAAGCUGAAGAACCUCGGAGCCCUUCCGUCACUAAUGGAAAAUAUUACAAAAGUAGCAUAAAAACUUCUACAACUACAUGGCACAAAUAACAAAUACCAGUGCAAUGAAAGAACACAUGACAAAAUGUUUGUCUCAUGGCCAGUCCCAAUGUUUCAUUGCGGCGACGCCGCUACCAAGGGCAAUGGAAUAUGAGACCGCCUUCAAAUGGAGAAAUUCCAGAAGGAAAAUCUCAACAUCAAAAGGCUUACUUUAUGACGUUAGCUUGGAAAUAUGCAAACAUGUGUGGUUUGCUCCACAAGAAAGCUGAAGGACAUGGACGCCCUUCCGUCAAACAUUAAAUUGUUGUCACUGUCAAUGAAAAUAAUGAGACAGUCUCCAAUGCAUUCAUCUGCUUUGGAAAACAUUCAACAGCCCCAAAAAAAACAGAACAAGAUUGCAACCAUGGCUGCAUCAUAAACAAUGGAGCAAUAACAGUACCAAAAUGGUUUGCAAGCAAUUGAAUAGCAGCAACGCCACUACCCAAGGCAAUGGAAUAUGAGACCACUUUCAAAUGGAGGAAGACCUCACAGAUGAAAACCCUUGAAGGUGAACCUCUACAAAUAAAAACUUAAUCUCUGACGACUGCUAUGGAAUAUGCAAACAUGUAAGGUUUGCUCCAAAAAAAGCUAAGGAACAUCGGAGAGGGAAAAUAUUACAAAAGUAGCAUAAAAACUUCUACAACUACAUGGCACAAAUAACAAAUACCAGUGCAAUGAAAGAACACAUGACAAAAUGUUUGUCUCAUGGCCAGUCCCAAUGUUUCAUUGCGGCGACGCAGCUACCAAGGGCAAUGGAAUAUGAGACCACCUUCAAAUGGAGAAAUUCCAGAAGGAAAAUCUCAACAUCAAAAGGCUUAGUUUAUGACGUUAGCUUGAGAAUAUGCAAACAUGUGUGGUUUGCUCCACAAGAAAGCUGAAGGACAUGGACGCCCUUCCGUCAAACUUUAAAUUGUUGUCACUGUCUAUGAAAAUAAUGAGACAGUCUCCAAUGCAUUCAUCUGCUUUUGAAAACAUUUAAGAGCCCCAAAAUCAGGAAAAGAUUGCAACCAUGGCUGCAUCAUUAACAAUGGAGCACUAACAGUACCAAAGUGGUUUGCAAGCAAUUGAAUAGGAGCAUACAACGCAUUGUGCUAAACACUAAGAUAAGAAUGUAGUAUUGUACCCGAUUAAACAAGUUAUAAGUGUAAAGUAUGCGCCUCAUGGCCAGUCCCAAAUUUUCACGGCAGCAACGCCGCUACACAAGGCAAUGGAAUAUGAGGCUGCCCUCUGACGGAUUAUCUCCUCGAAAGAGUAGCCUUUCAAUGGAAAUCCUCAAACGUCCGAAGGCUUAAUCUAUGACGUUUGCUCUGGAAUAUGCAGGCACUAUUGACUUCUGCUCCAGCAAAAAAGUUAAGAGAGCCUCACGGCGCUCCCGUCAAAAAGAAAGUAAUCUCACAUCUAUAGCAGAUAUAGUAUGACGAGGACUACAGAAAGUAAGUUAACGCUAGUCUAAAUUCAUCGACGACCUUGAUCUAAGCAAUUACGGACGAAGUAAGGUCGAGAUGCUACCU
rnacentral:lncRNA from 1 species